UUGCGCUUGAUGGACGGAACUGUACCCAAAAAAGAACAAAGUUCAGCCUUUCGCCAAAUACAACAUUAACUUGAUAACAACAUAAAAAAAUCUGCCAAAAUAAUGCAUAUGGAUAGUGAUGAUCUGAGAUUACUUAAAGAAGGUGUAGUUUUUCCAUUUUUUAACUGAUCUCAUAGAUUCUGAUUUUCCAAAAAUAGAAAAUUCUAUUAUACGCAUGAUACAUGCAAAAAAAAUGCAGACUCAAAAUGAUGCUAAGCGAAAACCAGACAGCUUAUAGAAAAUCAAGAAAUUGACUAAGAAAGGCAUUAGCAGUGCUACCUUGUUAGGAUCCAUUAGAAAAGA
rnacentral:misc_RNA from 1 species